AAGUCGUAACAAGGUUUCCGUAGGUGAACCUGCGGAAGGAUCAUUAACACAUCCUUUUCUAUAUCAAGCAAUGGCGCACAGUAUGAGCCUUUUGGGAGGAGGUCGGAGUGGCAAUGGUGUGGAAUCUCCUUCGGGGAUUUUGCCUUCCGACUAGACGCACACGGUCCACCGAGUUUCGAUUCGGUCGACUGGAGAGGCGCGGCUUCUACUCAUCAUGGUAUACAGUCUCUACCUGGCUGGCCCCAAACUUUUUUAAACCUCUUGAUUUUUGUACUGAUUCGGUUCGGAUCGAGAAGGGCUCUGCUCUUCUCUCUGGGCCUGAUGGAGAAAUCCAUUAAAUAAAUCAAAACACAACUCUUAACAGCGGAUAUCUCGGUUCUC
rnacentral:misc_RNA from 1 species